rnacentral:rRNA from 1 species
UACGUAGGGUGCAAGCGUUAAUCGGAAUUACUGGGCGUAAAGCGUGCGCAGGCGGUUUUGUAAGACAGAUGUGAAAUGCCCGGGCUUAACCUGGGAACUGCAUUUGUGACUGCAAGGCUAGAGUUUGGCAGAGGGGGGUAGAAUUCCACGGUGUAGCAGUGAAAUGCGUAGAUAUGUGGAGGAAUACCGAUGGCGAAGGCAGCCCCCUGGGUCAAGACUGACGCUCAUGCACGAAAGCGUGGGGAGCAAACAGG